rnacentral:rRNA from 1 species
GAUGAACGCUGGCGGCGUGCCUAAUACAUGCAAGUCGAGCGAACAGACGAGGAGCUUGCUCCUCUGACGUUAGCGGCGGACGGGUGAGAAACACGUGGAUAACCUACCUAUAAGACUGGGAUAACUUCGGGACACCGGCGCUAAUACCGGAUAAUAUAUUGAACCGCAUGGUUCAAUGGUGAAAUUCGGUUUUGCUGUCUCUUCUCGAUGGAUCCGCGCCGCAUUGGCUAGUUGGUAAGGUAACGGCUUACGAAGGCAACGAUGCGUAGCCGACCGGAGGGGGUGAUCGGCCACACGGGAACGGAGACACGGUCCAGACGCCUACGGGAGGCAGCAGUAGGGAAUCUUCCGCAAUGGGCGAAAGCCUGACGGAGCAACGCCGCGUGAGUGAUGAAGGUCUUCGGAUCGUAAAACUCUGUUAUUAGGGAAGAACAAAUGUGUAAGUAACUAUGCACGUCUUGACGGUACCUAAUCAGAAAGCCACGGCUAACUACGUG